GAAGACUUGCUGCACACACUAGGGACUUUCAUCACAAAACAAGUCAUGUCAUUAUUAGCUACGAACCAUCUGUAUCACAGAUAAGCAGAAGAGGCUGCUGACAUGCCAUAGGUUUCAGCGACGUACUGCGACGAUGCACAAUGCUCAACACAACUGAAGGUAGUCUGUUACAACCACAGAGAGUGAAGCGCGACACAGAUAGGUAGAUAGAUAGAUUAUCAUUUUCUGGGUAUUACGAAUGGGUGGGCAGACUCAUUUCUUCCCACUCUUCUUGAGACCGGAUCCUCCCAGCGCACCCUUCUGGCCUGCCUUGGCCUUCAGCUCCUUCAGGGCCUGGUCGACAAGAAGAUAAUAUGGUUCAGGUCAGUAACAAGGGUCAUCAUAGGACAAGCAGUGUAGAAGGAAAUACUGGAUAGCUGCUAGUGGUCUCACCUUUUGCUCAUCUUUCUUCUUCUGGAGGUAUGCCAGGUCAUUCUGCAACACAGAGGAAACCAAAACAGAUCAGUACAGGUAAGUGUAACUGGUCACUGAAGUAGCUCAUGUCAGGCUUCGAUCUGUCAUGGACUGGUUUUUCAAGCAAAGCAGGGUCCUAUUACAAGGAUGGUAAAAAUAAAUAAAUCAGAUCACCUUCCUCUUUCUCACAACAUCACAACACAUGGGCAUAAUUGCCACUGUCAAGCUUAUGUAUUAUAAGAGGAUGUUAGUGUGGCUGGAGGCCAAUUAGGAUGACCGAGAUUGAGAGUUACAAAUAUUUAAACAAACAAAAAAUACAGGCUUAAGCAACUAAAAUAAAUACACCACUCCCUUCAGAACAAGAUGAACAAAUACAAUACAGUUGAGUUUUAAGGUGGACUAACUGCACAGUGCGCACUUGUCAGCGCCUAGCAAACAGAUUACAGGAAUGGCAUAAAGAAAGGAACAUGCCAAUGCACUCCAGGUUUUGCAGCAAGUUCUACUUCAAAUAUUCACCUUAGAUAAUCCAUGACCGAUUAAUGUGUUAGAUGAUACAAACAAGAACAGAAGGCAACUUUGCUUAUAUAGAAAUGUUAGCAAAUGCAAAGUCCCAAGUCUAACCAAGCAACAGACACCGACGCAUAACACUGCUCACUCGCUUGCACACACUACCGCCCGAAAAUUUAGAUCAUCACAAAUUUAGCAUUAAGGUGACACUCUCAUCCAGCAUAAUAGCAUAAUUCGUAGCAAUUCGACAAAUUCCCCUUCCCGUUAAGUAAAGCGAAUCGCUUGCAUUCACCCAAGACCAAACAUUCACGAGCCCUUAAUUUUGACAAGAUUCCAGUGCAGCGCAACAGGCGCAUAAGCAUAGCAACCGGCCAGAUUCAUAUCCCCCCAUCGAAUCAUCCGCAAUUACCAACCAAGCACGGACCGAUCUACACCAGAUCAACCUAAACAUCUCCAAACCUAGAAUUACAGGGGCAGAUCGACGAAUCGGGAGCGCCAGCAAAGGGAGAACGACAACAUACCUCGUCGUAGUCCUUCUCGGCGACCUUGGCCUGCUUGAGCGGCUUGGCCUUCCCUCCUGCAAAACAGCCCCGAAACCGGAAGAGACGUCAGAACCCCGGGGGACCAAAUCGGUCGGCGACAAACGACGGCGGGAUCGAUCUCGCGUUGAUCGGUGGGGAGCGAGCAGACAUACCUUGCUUCGACAUGGCGGACGGGGCCGGCGGUGAGGCGGGAGGGCGGGGGCGAGAAACCCUAGCUGGAGCCGCGACGACGGGGGAAGGACGGAAGGUGGGGAAAGGCGUGAGGAAAUGGGCGUGGAGGGUAAGAGAAAAGGGAUAUAUAGAGGGGUUGGUGGGAAAUGGAAUCUCGCCUUGUGGUCGGGAGAGCAUGGGCCGGGCCUCCGUUGGCUCACGGGCACAGGGGGUUGCAAUGCAUCGCUUAUAGAAAUUUCACAAAAAUUUGCCUAAAAAAAUGUAUCACUUAUAGAACCCUUAAAAAAUGGAAACGAUAACGCCCAAAUGUCCUGUUUUUUAAACUGUCGGACCGAAUGACGUCUGGACAGUUGAUUGCAGACACGAAUCUUAAAGCAAAGGAAAUCAGCCAUGUCAACGUUCUCUUAGUUCGGGAAAACACCGUGUCGUGCCAAACGUCUUCCUCCUCGCCAAAGCCGCACCUUAUCAUCUCCUUCCACACUGCCCCUUCACUCUCUCCCAUUCCACUCUGCAUAGUCUCUAGACCCGCCGCCGUGCAACACAACCGCGACCACUCCCGGCGACGCGCUCUCGCACCACCCCUACGAGGCGGCCCACUCCACCCCGACAACGCAGCCUGGUCCAUUCCUACGUUGACAGCAAAAUCGACGGCGGCGCCGAGGCCGGUGAGGCUCAAGAAG
rnacentral:lncRNA from 1 species